rnacentral:tRNA from 1 species
GGAUUGUGGCUCAGCGGUAGAACGCUCACCUAGCACGGACAGGACCUGGGUUCGAUCCUCAGCACCA